rnacentral:misc_RNA from 1 species
GAUGAAGAACGCAGCGAACUGCGAUAAGUAAUGUGAAUUGCAGAAUUCAGUGAAUCAUCGAGUCUUUGAACGCACAUUGCGCCCCCUGGCAUUCCGGGGGGCAUGCCUGUCCGAGCGUCAUUGCUGCCCUUCAAGCCCGGCUUGUGUGUUGGGUCGUCGUCCCCCCCGGGGGACGGGACCGAAAGGCAGCGGCGGCACCGCGUCCGGUCCUCGAGCGUAUGGGGCUUUGUCACCCGCUCGAUUAGGGCCGGCCGGGCGCCAGCCGGCGUCUCCAACCUUCUAUUUUACCAGGUUGACCUCGGAUCAGGUAGGGAUACCCGCUGAACUUAAGCAUAUCAAUAAGCGGAGGA